rnacentral:SRP_RNA from 1 species
GCUGGGCGUGGUGGUGGGCGCCUGUAAUCCCAGCUACUCGGGAGGCUGAGGCAGGAGAAUUGCUUGAACCCAGGAGGUGGAGGUUGCAGUGAGCCGAGAUUGAGCCACUGCACUCCAGCCUGGGUGACAGAGUGAGACUCCGUCUCCA